AACGAACGCUGGCGGCAGGCUUAACACAUGCAAGUCGAGCGCCCCGCAAGGGGAGCGGCAGACGGGUGAGUAACGCGUGGGAACGUACCCUUAUCUUCGGAAUAGCUCCGGGAAACUGGAAUUAAUACCGAAUGUGCCCUUAGGGGGAAAGAUUUAUCGGAUAAGGAUCGGCCCGCGUUGGAUUAGCUAGUUGGUGGGGUAAAGGCCUACCAAGGCGACGAUCCAUAGCUGGUCUGAGAGGAUGAUCAGCCACAUUGGGACUGAGACACGGCCCAAACUCCUACGGGAGGCAGCAGUGGGGAAUAUUGGACAAUGGGCGCAAGCCUGAUCCAGCCAUGCCGCGUGAGUGAUGAAGGCCUUAGGGUUGUAAAGCUCUCUCACCGAUGAAGAUAAUGACGGUAGUCGGAGAAGAAGCCCCGGCUAACUCUGUGCCAGCCGCCGCGGUAAAAC
rnacentral:rRNA from 1 species